rnacentral:misc_RNA from 1 species
GAUGAAGAACGCAGCGAAAUGCGAUACGUAAUGUGAAUUGCAGAAUUCAGUGAAUCAUCGAGUCUUUGAACGCACAUUGCGCCCCCUGGUAUUCCGGGGGGCAUGCCUGUCCGAGCGUCAUUGCUGCCCUCAAGCACGGCUUGUGUGUUGGGCCUCCGUCCUCCUCCCGGGGGACGGGCCCGAAAGGCAGCGGCGGCACCGCGUCCGGUCCUCGAGCGUAUGGGGCUUCGUCACCCGCUCUUNNNNNNNCGGCCGGCGCUUGCCGACACAUCAAUCUUUUUUCCAGGUUGACCUCGGAUCAGGUAGGGAUACCCGCUGAACUUAAGCAUAUCAUAAGCGGAGGA